rnacentral:rRNA from 1 species
GACGAACGCUGGCGGCGUGCCUAACACAUGCAAGUCGAACGAACAGACCAUGAUCUUGCGGGGUGCUCGAGUGGCGCACAGGUGUGUAACACGUGAGUAAAAUGCACCUGAAUUUGGGAUAUAUUCUGGAAAAUGCGGCUCAUACAGGAUAGGAUCUACUGAUGCAUGGUGGGGGUUGGAAAGUUUCGGCGGUUGUGGCUGGAAUAGCGGCUUAUCAGCUUGUUUGUGGGGUAGUGGCUUACCAAGGCUUUGACGGGUAGCCGGCCUGAGAGGGUGACCGGCCACAUUGGGACUGAGAUACGGCCCAGGCUCCUACGGGAGGCAGCAGUGGGGAAUAUUGCACAAUGGGCGGAAGCCUGAUGCAGCAACGCCGCGUGCGGGAUGACGGCCUUCUGGUUGUAAACCGAUUGUGCCUGUGACGAAGCGCGUGUGACGGGAAUGGGUAAAGAAGCACCGGCUAACUACGUG